rnacentral:rRNA from 1 species
GGGCCCGCACAAGCGGUGGAGCAUGUGGUUUAAUUCGAAGCAACGCGCAGAACCUUACCAACCCUUGACAUCCUGUGCCACUCCGAGAGAUCGGACGUUCCCUUCGGGGACGCAGUGACAGGUGCUGCAUGGCUGUCGUCUGCUCGUGUCGUGAGAUGUUCGGUUAAGUCCGGCAACGAGCGCAACCCACAUCCUUAGUUGCCAGCAGUUCGGCUGGGCACUCUAAGGAAACUGCCCGUGAUAAGCGGGAGGAAGGUGUGGAUGACGUCAAGUCCUCAUGGCCCUUACGGGUUGGGCUACACACGUGCUACAAUGGCAGUGACAAUGGGUUAAUCCCCAAAAACUGUCUCAGUUCGGAUUGGAGUCUGCAACUCGACUCCAUGAAGUCGGAAUCGCUAGUAAUCG